GCAGCCAAUCAGGAGCCCUGGAGUAAUCUGUAAGAGCAAAACACAGCUGGAGCUGGGAACCAGCUGAGACACAACACGCAGAGUGACAGGAAAGAGUUACUUUAGGACGACGUUUCAGUGUCGGUUCGGCAGACCUGUUCUCUCCCAUUCGAACAGUACGCAGGACGUCCUACUUGGACACGUUACCGAAACAGCCGACUAAGAGAAUAUGCCAUUCUGAUGGGAACGGUGAACCAUCAAUGCACCUGCAAUCCGUGGCAGUUACUGAUAUGGAUGACUUGGGCAACCAUGGCAGCAUCCUGCGACGCCACCUCCCUCUUCCCCAAAUCGUAAAAGACUAAGAAACAGAAAGAGAUGAAUUCCCCAACACACUGCUCAGGAUUCCUGUGUGCCCGUCACCCCCCACACCUAGAAACUGAAAGGUGGGGAACAGAGUCAUGCUUCGGUACAGGAAAUGAAAGAGAGCUGCCUUUUUCUGCAGCCCUCGCCAAAACGCUGAAGUCCCACUCAUUAUGACUGUCUCAUCAUGCCAGUGACCUUUGAUCAC